rnacentral:rRNA from 1 species
AUUGAACGCUGGCGGCAGGCUUAACACAUGCAAGUCGAGCGGAGAGGGGUAGCUUGCUACUGAUCUUAGCGGCGGACGGGUGAGUAAUGCUUAGGAAUCUGCCUAUUAGUGGGGGACAACAUUUCGAAAGGAAUGCUAAUACCGCAUACGUCCUACGGGAGAAAGCAGGGGAUCUUCGGACCUUGCGCUAAUAGAUGAGCCUAAGUCGGAUUAGCUAGUUGGUGGGGUAAAGGCCUACCAAGGCGACGAUACGUAGCGGGUCUGAGAGGAUGAUCCGCCACACUGGGACUGAGACACGGCCCAGACUCCUACGGGAGGCAGCAGUGGGGAAUAUUGGACAAUGGGCGGAAGCCUGAUCCAGCCAUGCCGCGUGUGUGAAGAAGGCCUUAUGGUUGUAAAGCACUUUAAGCGAGGAGGAGGCUACUUUAGUUAAUACCUAGAGAUAGUGGACGUUACUCGCAGAAUAAGCACCGGCUAACUCUGUGCCAGCAGCCGCCGUAA